AUUGAACGCUGGCGGCAUGCCUUACACAUGCAAGUCGAACGGUAACGCGGGGCAACCUGGCGACGAGUGGCGAACGGGUGAGUAAUAUAUCGGAACGUGCCCAGUAGUGGGGGAUAGCCCGGCGAAAGCCGGAUUAAUACCGCAUACGACCUAAGGGUGAAAGGGGGGGAUCGCAAGACCUCUCGCUAUUGGAGCGGCCGAUAUCAGAUUAGCUAGUUGGUGGGGUAAAAGCCUACCAAGGCGACGAUCUGUAGCUGGUCUGAGAUGACGACAAGCCACACUGGGACUGAGACACGGCACAGAGUCCGACGGGAGGCAGCAGUGGGGAAUUUUGGACAAUCGACGAAAGUCUGACUGAGCCAGGCCGCGUGGGGGAAGAAGGCCUUCGGGUUGUAAACCGCUUUUGUCAGGGAAGAAAUCCCUUGCGAUAAUACCUCGGGGGGAUGACGGUACCUGAAGAAUAAGCACCGGCUAACUACGUGCCAGCAGCCGCAGUAA
rnacentral:rRNA from 1 species